UAUCUUCAUUACUUACAAAAAAUGCAAAUCAAUUCAACAAAACAAAAUCAUUGUAAUCUAAAAGAUUUCAUGUUAUCAAAAGGAUUAAAAGUUUAUGGCUCCAGAUUCCAUAAUUCAACUUUCUAAGUUUUAUUGUUCUAUACGUAGUUCUGAGGUUCUAUAACCUGGAUUCUAUACGUAGUUUUUAACUAUAUUUUUGCCUUUUAAAUUGUUUUGUCAACAUGUAAAUAAAUCAUAACAUCAUAAACUUAUGCAAACAUAACGUUGUUAAUCAAUAUCGUAAAUACAUAACGUUAACUUAUUACCGUACCAAUAUUAUGUACGUUACAUGAAUUAAUUACAUCAUAAAUCUAACAUUUAAUACACUAUAUUCUAUUUAAUAAUUUACUAAUUAGUUGAACAGCUUACCUUAAUCAAAGAUACGUUUAUCACAAUUUGUAUUUGCAAUGUACAAGAAUUUUAAGAUACUUCCGCAACAACUAUUGAGCCCCCCAUCUUUGUUAUGCACUUAUGGUUAUCACGUGAUCGCCGGGACGUUGUUGUGGUUACAUAAAAGCAAGUUGUUAGUUUAAGACGGGACAACUACGUACUAGAACGUCCAAGUCCACGAGUUUAAUACGUCUCUUUCCUUACCGGCAAAAGUCAGUACGUGCACGAAUGAAGCUGACGCUUCAAAUCAGUAUGCAAUGAAAAGCAUAAAUAUGAACUUGUCACCAAAUCUUUCAACGCAAUCGAAACAACCUUCGUCUCCUUCCAAAAGUGACGGAAGAGGUUUGGGAAAAGGAAGGCCGGGAGUUGCAAGGAAAUAUAAAGUCACCAAACAAAAACAGCGCAGACGAAUGGAAAGAGUUAUAAAAAUGCCCUACUGUAUGGUACCAGGAUGUAACAAUUGUUUGAAGAAAACCAAAGGUAGCG